rnacentral:rRNA from 1 species
CCUACGGGAGGCAGCAGUAGGGAAUCUUCCGCAAUGGACGAAAGUCUGACGGAGCAACGCCGCGUGAGUGAUGAAGGUUUUCGGAUCGUAAAACUCUGUUAUUAGGGAAGAACAAAUGUGUAAGUAACUGUGCACAUCUUGACGGUACCUAAUCAGAAAGCCACGGCUAACUACGUGCCAGCAGCCGCGGUAAUACGUAG